UCUUCUUCUUCUUUCCUCCGUCCGUUCUAAAACCCUAUAAAACCUCUGUAGACGACGAAGUUCGAUCUUGCUUUUUCCGGCUUUUUCUAUCUCUUACAAUGGCGUCUAGAUUCAUGAGCAGAUCCUCCGUCUCUUCUCUCAAAUCCGCAAUCAGAUCUUCACUUCGAAAUUCUCCCAUUGGCACCGGAUCUUCUCCGGCUGCUGCUUCAUCCGCCGGAUUUCGUAUUCCGUCUAAACCUGCUGCUUCUCCACUUCCCCGAUUCUCCUUCUCCAGGUGUCCAUCUGAGCUUGGUUGUGUUCAGUCGCUGUUACCGCUUCACAGCACGGUGGCGGCUGCUCGGUUGACUUCAUGCCUAAGCACAACUUCCAGAAGCAGCCGAGCUCUCUCUCAGGGUACUCUCUGCUGCACCUCUCCCGACCUCUAAUUCUCUUUUCUGCUUUCUUUCUUGCACAUAAUUUCACCGUUACCAUGUGGGAUCCUUGCAUCUUUAUCAAAUGGAAUCGAUGGCACGUGAGACGUAUUUGCAGUUGUUUUUAAAGGUGGGCUCUGUCAACAAUGCUUUGGUGAUAAUUUAGAGUUUAGGAAGCUAUUUUAGAUGAGAUAGCUUAACUAGUUUACUGUUCAUCUGAUUCACUUAGCAUUGUUUAAAGAUUCUUACCAUGAAGUCAAUAAGCCCGAAGCAUCCAUCUUUCUUCUUACUUUUGUAAAAUCAGUUUUCUGUUUCUGCCCUAAUCUUU